rnacentral:rRNA from 1 species
AUUGAACGCUGGCGGCAUGCCUUACACAUGCAAGUCGAACGGCAGCACGGGAGCAAUCCUGGUGGCGAGUGGCGAACGGGUGAGUAAUAUAUCGGAACGUGCCCAGUAGUGGGGGAUAACUGCUCGAAAGAGCAGCUAAUACCGCAUACGACCUGAGGGUGAAAGGGGGGGAUCGCAAGACCUCUCGCUAUUGGAGCGGCCGAUAUCAGAUUAGCUAGUUGGUGGGGUAAAGGCCUACCAAGGCAACGAUCUGUAGUUGGUCUGAGAGGACGACCAGCCACACUGGGACUGAGACACGGCCCAGACUCCUACGGGAGGCAGCAGUGGGGAAUUUUGGGACAAUGGGCGCAAGCCUGAUCCAGCAAUGCCGCGUGCAGGAAGAAGGCC